rnacentral:lncRNA from 1 species
GCGGCUUUGGGCGGGGCUGCGUGGUGACGUUACGCGUGCGCGGCUCGCUGCUGUGACCGUAACUUUAAGCACACGUGAGCGUCCUCAGCUGGCAGCCAUGGCUGGCGGGUCCUUCCUAGCAUGUGCUGCGGCCCUCACCUUAUCUUCCGUCAUCAGGGCACAGGCGCCGUGCAGGGCUAUUCCGAGUCCAGGUAGAGAUGGCUGAGCUCGGUGGCAGGAGAUCAGCCUGCGGUGGAGCAGGGACGUUUGCCCUGGGGAGACACGUGCCACCGGGUGAGUUAGGCCUGUUUCUGGGGGAUUCCUUUCCAACCCCAGCUAGUUCCGCCCAAGCAAGCAGAGUCUUCCCUCAAGAGAUUUUUUUUUCCUUUUACGAGAGAACGUUCGGAGGGGCUAGAACUGGGUGAUACGCACUGGCUGCGCUGAAUCUGUCUUUUCUCCCCUCCUAGGUGGACAUCGAGGCCCUGUGGGUGGCCCUACAGCGUGGAAGGGAUGACCGAGCUUUGGGACAUGUCCUGGAAACCUAAGGUGCUGGAGCUAGAAGAGACUUGAUAGCACUUCAGAGACCAUCAGGCUGUUUCGUGGAACUUCCACCAAAGAGAUGCAGAAAUGGAGACUCCAGAGCUGGAGAGAGAGAGAUGACUCAACUGUUAAAAGCACUGACUGCUCUUCCAGAGGUCCUGAGUUCAAUUCCCAGCAACCACAUGGUGGCUCACAAUUAUCUGUAAUGGGGAUCCGAUGCCCUCCUCUGGUGUGUCUGAAGACAGUGAUGGUGUACUGACAUAUAUGAAGUAAAUAAGUAAAUUAAUAAAUAGAAAUGAGACUCCAGCUGUG